ensembl:lncRNA
UAGUAGUGCAAUUUACUGUUAAUGUGUAAUUACAAAAAGAGAAGACUGUGCAAGAAAACAAUGCAGUCCUAUGAAAUCGCACCACAUAAGGAUCUGAUGUGGACUGAGGAUCAGGAAAGGCAGCCACAGGAACUCUAUUUAACAACCAGCUUGUAACAUUCCUGAAAAUUUAACAGUCAGCCCUUGUGAGCCCAUGAAAGCUAAAUCCAGCGCAGCACUGAAGGUCAAGUGCAUUUAACUAGGUCAAUGUGCUUUUUGGAGGUGAGGACUAUGUGUCUAUUUUACCUUUGUUACCUGGCACAAGAUGGGCAAUGUGGAUCUUUGUGUUUGAGAAGAACAAAAAUUGACUAUAAUGAAACCUCUCUGACACAGGAUUUAUGAACAGCUCUCAAAGGACACACAUGAACAGGCAGUUUCUUGGCAAAGGGGUAAACAGAACAGAGUCAAACCAACUGAGAUAGUGUGUAGCAAGGGGCAAUACGCAAUACAUCAUCCAUAGCAUCAGUUGGGUGAAUAAGAAAGACCUCUAACCGACAACAUAUGGACAGAGGGAUAGAAGCAGGAGCGGAAGAGAUCCCUCAAGGGCGAAUGGAGGCUGCCAGAGAGACAAGACUGCUGAAGGGUAACUUAUUGAGCCACUUUUUUUAAAACUGCCUUUGAAAAGAAGCUUGACUGAAAGAAAAGAAUUUAUGCAAUUAGAAUGUAUUUUUCUUUUGUGUUCUUAUCUGCUUCUCUCACAAGCUAUUUUUGAUUACCUUCUUGAGAACAAAACAAAUGUCUACAACAAAAAAAGUCUUCAUCCUCAAGCAGUCUUACUCAAUGACGCUGGGCUGUAAUCGCUUUGCUUGAUGCGGGCUACUGCAUGAUGCGAUUGUCCUUACAUGAGGACACUAAAGCUGAGAGAGGGGAGCUGCUGGCCAACCAUCAGCCAGCCACGUGUGACAGCGCUGGGACUUGAGCUCUGCAUGAGAUUCCAAACUCUGUGCGUGUGUUCUAUGUGUGUGUGUGUCACCCAUGGUGCUAUAAAAGAAAAUAACCUGGAGAAUAGAGAAAUGGCUGAAGAUGACUACAUGACACAAUUUGGGACAACCUCACAUAAGCAGAAAUCACUGGAUAGACUCUUAGGAAUGAUCCUUAACAAGUGGACUUCGCUAGCCAGUACCUGUCCCCCCACUUUCCUUUACUUAUUUGCUUGUCUGGAAUGCAGACAUAAUGGUUGAGAUUGGAGCACCUUGUGACCACAAGGAUAAUAACAAGAUACUCACAAAGACUUCAUCCCCAACAUCCUUGAGUCAAUAAGCCAAGGCCAAAAAUACCUACUCUUGAACUUCUUGUUAUGUGAGAAAAAAAAUAAACCCC